UACGAGUGCCCCGAGCGUUAUCCGGAAUCAUUGGGCGUAAAGGGUGUGUAGGCGGUUGUGUUAGUCUUCUGUUAAAUUCUUCGGCUUAACCGGGGGCAUGCGGAAGAAACGGCACAACUAGAGGAUGCGAGAGGUAUAUGGAACUCAUGGAGUAGGGGUGAAAUCCGUUGAUAUCAUGGGGAACACCAAAGCGAAGGCAUAUACUGGCGCACUCCUGACGCUGAGACACUAAAGCGUAGGUAGCG
rnacentral:rRNA from 1 species